CCUCUUGGCGGGGAAUACCUCUGGGAAACCGGAGACAAUACCGCAUAAGCUCGGAAGAGGAAACCCGCAAGGGGCCGAGAGAGGAGUCCGCGGCCGAUUAGCUAGUUGGUAGGGUAAAGGCCUACCAAGGCGAAGAUCGGUAGCCGGCCUGAGAGGGCACACGGCCACACUGGCACUGAAACACGGGCCAGACUCCUACGGGAGGCAGCAGUGGGGAAUCUUGCACAAUGGGGGAAACCCUGAUGCAGCGACGCCGCGUGAGCGAUGAAGCCCUUCGGGGUGUAAAGCUCUUUCGACGGGAACGAUAAUGACGGUACCCGGAGAAGAAGCUGCGGCUAACUACGUGCCAACAGCCGCGGUAAUACGUAGGCAGCAAGCGUUGUUCGGAGUUACUGGGCGUAAAGAGUGCGUAGGCGGUGCCCUAAGUCUGUUGUGAAAUCUCCCGGCUUAACUGGGAGGGUGCGGUGGAAACUGGGGUGCUUGAGUGUGGGAGAGGUUAGCGGAAUUCCUGGUGUAGCGGUGAAAUGCGUAGAUAUCAGGAGGAACACCGGUGGUGUAGACGGCUGACUGGACCACGACUGACGCUGAGGCACGAAAGCGUGGGUAGCAAACAGG
rnacentral:rRNA from 1 species